rnacentral:lncRNA from 10 species
CUGGCUGGAACUGUCAUCUUAACAUGUCCUGGUCAUCUUAACGUGUCCACCUCUCUGGCAAGCCUCUUUUCAAGUCUUUUUGUUACCAUCUUCAGCUUUUUCCCUCCAUACUAGAUUCUUAAUGAAUUGCUGCCAACAAGAGAAAGCUUUAUACAUGAAGAGAAUGGCAAUAAGAACUAACUCGUCUUUUUAAUUUUAAAACUGGUAUAUAUUCCUAUAUAAUAGGAAUGGAAGAUACUUGCAAAGCCUAUUUGUUCCUCUACAGAAGAGUUAAAAAUUACCUGGGCUAAUGGAAAGAAGGGAGAGUCAGCCAAUUAGAUGCUCCUGAAUGCCCUGAAUUGUGACUUACCUCUUCUUAUCCACAUCCUGAUCAAGGAAAGGGAUGAGAGAGAGGUGGAGAGAGAAGAAAUGGAAAUUCAAAAGUUUUGACGGCAGAGGAAAAUUGUGCUUAUUUCCAGAAUGAGACGAACAAGGUCCUGGGUCCCUACAUGUCAUACUGGCUAGAGACUGGUAAGUAGAAAUGACUUGUGGUCAGCAGAAUAAUGGCUCCCAAGGAUGUCCACAUUCUAAUCCCCAGAAUCUGUGCAUGUGUUAGAUUACAUGGCAAAGGGGAAUUAAGGUUGAAGAUGGAAUUAAGGUUUCUAAUUGGAUGCCCUUAGAACAGGGAGAGUAGUCAGAAUUAAUCAGCUUCAGAGUUACAGAACUGUAAGAUAAUAAGUUUGUGUUGUUUUAAGCCACUAAGUCUGUAGUAAUUUAUUAGAGCAGCAGUGGAAAACAUACAUGGCUCUAGAAUGUGUCUUAACAGAGGGACCUGAGGUAGUCUCCAAGAAUCCCCAAAGAUCUCAGGAUAGAUCAGGAAUAGCCAUUUUCUCAUUCACAGGGAAACAGAUUAACUGAGAGAAGCCAUCAAGCCUGAAGAGACAUCGUGUUUGAAAUGUGUAAGGCACAGUGUACCCGCCGUGGAUCAAAACAACCUGAAGGACAGACAGACAGACACACCGAGGAUCAGCAGAUAUCAGUGGGGACAGGUGCUGAUGAUGGUGCAAAUGAGAGUCAUGAAGGAAAGUUAAAUGAUGACCAAAGACCAAGUACCUUCCCCACAAUGCUUUGACAAGCGCUUUUAUAAGCACCCUGGAAUUUAGACACUACCCGGGGAGAAAAGGAAAGGGAGACAAGCAUGAAUUGUCUGAGAAACCCCUGAAUUAAUCAUGUGUACCCCAAUGCAACAAGGAUCUAGAUAUAGAAUAAUUUUAAUUAUAGAAAACAAAAUUAUAUUUUACCCACCCAUAUUUGAUGCCCAUGAAUUUCACAUCUACCUUACGUGCACAUAAAAUUCAAGCUUAGAUAGACGGAAAACAAAAAAUCAAGAAGCAAUAUUUGCCUUCUAAUAACUUAUCUAUUGGAGGAGGUAAAAGAUAGAAAAGUAGUUCAGAUGACAAAUACUAAAAGAGUUAGGAACUUCUGCUUCCACUUACGAUGAAGGAACUUGUACUCAAUCCAUCCACUUUGUAAUUCUCCUUGAGCUGCUGUAAUAAAGUACCACAAACUGG